rnacentral:lncRNA from 1 species
AGUCAUUACAGCAGGACGGACUGUGCUGGGAAGUUCAUACUGGCAAUUAAAUGUUUUGUCUGGGAAGUGACACAUAUCACUUCUGCUGACCUGGGCAUAGUUUACAGAGACAAAGGGAUCUGAAAUCAACCAGAAUAAAAUGACCACGGAGUAGACGUGUUACAAAGAAAAAGAGAGGAAAAUCGGCAACAAUAGUGACAACAAGAACAAAAUAACAAGAAAACUCCCACAAAGACAGAAGGAAGACAAUGCAGCUAGUGAGCAAAUUAGGAAUUUGAAAGCAUCUUCUGAGAGCUUGAAUGAUGAAUGUACUGAGGUUCCUAAGGGUGAGGUGAGAAGACCCAUCCAGCAUCACAAGACCCAUUCAAGGUGAUGUGGCUAGUUUGUGCUGAAGGCAGAAGUUUCCAGAAUUCCUGACCCUCAUGCUAUGGAACAGUCCUUGUGAGAAUAUCAGAGAUGAAUGAACAAGCAGGUGGAAGUUCGGAGGAAGACACGAUUAUAGACAAAAUGAAGGCACUACAUUUUCUCUGAUAAAAAAGUCUCUCAACAUUUUUAUAUCCUGUUGGUUUUCUAGGAAACGUAGACAUGCUCUGUAGGAAAUAAUCUCAAAAUGGAC